UAGGGAAUCUUCCGCAAUGGACGAAAGUCUGACGGAGCAACGCCGCGUGAGUGAAGAAGGAUUUCGGUUCGUAAAACUCUGUUGUUAGGGAAGAAAAAAUGUAUAGUAACUAUAUACAAAAGAGACGGUACCUAACCAGAAACCCACGGCUAACUACGUGCCAGCAGCCGCGGUAAUACGUAGGUGGCAAGCGUUGUCCGGAAUUAUUGGGCGUAAAGCGCGCGCAGGUGGUUUAGAAAGUCUGAUGUGAAAGCCCACGGCUCAACCGUGGAGGGUCAUUGGAAACUAAUAAACUUGAGUGCAGGAGAGAAAAGUGGAAUUCCUAGUGUAGCGGUGAAAUGCGUAGAGAUUAGGAGGAACACCGGUGGCGAAAGCGGCUUUUUGGCCUGCAACUGACACUGAGGCGCGAAAGCGUGGGGAGCAAACAGG
rnacentral:rRNA from 1 species